GAUUAAGCUAGUUGCAUAAGUAAGCUUUUAUAAUUUGCAAAGUAAAUGAUGACCUAAAAAGCUAAUGUAUUUGGUUUCAUGCAAGGUUACUAGAAGAACAAGGAACCAGCUGGCAUAUGAAGACAGGCUGGGACGUCAGAUGACAACAGAACAGAGGCUAUAGUUUAUGAAUGGGGGUUAUUGUUAAUACCAGAUAUGCUCAGCAUAGCGGUAUGCCCACAAGGUAUAUGGAUAUAUGCAAGCAGGCUGACAGGUCAGGCAAUUACAGAACAGGGGUUAACUCAGGGGUAUAGCUAGAGUGGGUGUGCUAUCUGGGUCAGCCUUUCAGUUUGUCCAUUCCCCUGAAUUCACCAGCUUUAUGCAGCAAAUGCAAAAGUACUACCCUCCAUAGAUGCAUCACCUGGGGGUGGAUAGCCUCCUUCUUCACUUUGUCUCAUUUUGCUUUAGUGAAAAGUGAGCACCAGCCUGGUGAUGGUACAGUCCUGUCUGUCUGUCUGUCUCUCCUUCUCGUAAGUGUCACAUCCUGAUUGUUCGGUUAAAUGACAGGUAGGAAGUUUCAAGAGUGUCUUAUGUCUGUUUGUGACUACUUAAAACAAUUAGCGAGAGGAGAGCACGGUAUGUGCUAACGAGUCAGGCUUAUGUAUGAGUGACAGCUGUUGUUUUGAUUUCUUUUCAAAAACUUCAGCAAGCACACUUCAGGGAAAACCAAAAUAUUAACAAGACAAUUUAUGAUUCAUACUUCAUGAAAUACCAAGAUAUUG